AUUUAUUUCUUUCUUCAGUAGUGAAACAAGAUCGGAAGCUUAAACGUCGUGUUUGGAAUUCAGCAACUGUGAUCAGCACGAUGGCUCAGUUCCGGUGUUGAUGGCAAGCGCGGGAAGAUCUUUUGUCCACGCCAAUCGUCACCCACCUAUUUUCAAGAGCCCGCUUUAUGAACACUCACGAAACUUUUGGCAUAGAUUUAUUGUUGUCGGCACAGAGAACGGUAAUACACUAAACAACGGCUUAUGGUGUAUGGAUAACGUAUUUAAGUUUUCAUAAAAGAACAAUAGACAGUGCCUAAUCGUCUCCUGAAUAUAUUUGGAUAGAAAUUUGGAAAUCCAAACAGAAGUCAAGAAGUUUUAGCCAGGACAUAAUACAGUUUAUAUUCUUAAGUGUAAUAUAUUUGCAUCUCGAUAAAAAAAAGUCGCCACUGAAUAAAAGAAGUAACGAACAUCAACAACAAUUGAAACAUGAAAGACUUGUAUAUUUCUCUUUGGAUUUUGGUCGUUUUCUGUCGGAUCGCUUGCAGUAAAACCUACCCAAUGUUUUCAGACGAUUCUCUAGAGCCUGGAGACCAUUUAAAUAAAAAAUUCGUUUUGAUAAAAAUACUUCAAACUUUAGAAGAUGGUGAAAAAUUAUACAGUGAACCAAGUCAUCUAUCACAUCUGACGUCAGCAUUAGAUCAACAAGCCAAAGGAGACCUUUUAACAGACGAUUCUAUGGACGAUACCAUACUAGUGCCGUCAAAGAGAGAUUUUGGAGUCUUGCCACCGUGGAACGAGUUUUGUCGGAUGAUGAGGAUUACUCAUUGUUUUCAUAGCAGACAGAGUUAGACAGAAAUCUACUAAUCCAUAUUAAAUAUGGUUAUUAAGUUGAUUUUAUUUCCUAAUUUUGUCCAGACCAUUGCUACACGAAACGUCAGGAAACGUCUUUCAAAAAUACUAAAACCCGAUUGUGUCAUCAUUCUGUACCAAACACCAAACCCAAUGGACAUAAUAAACUGAUUGUGCGUAACUUUGGUAUGUUAUAUUUUAACAUUCCAUGGCACCUUGCUCACAAGUUAGGAAGAUCAUCUUUAUUUACCAAAUCUCACCAAAUUUUGACGUAGAAAGAAAGUGAGACAAACACAGGGACACAGCACACAAUAUCACACUGUACUAUCAAUUUAAGUGAAUGAAUAAGUUGUUUGAAUGUACAGGUUUUUUUGUAACAUUUAAAAUAUUGUAUCGUUUUAAAUAUUCCACAGUUUAAUAAUAUUUGGGGUAGCACAAUGUAAAAUAUCUAGGAUAAAUAUUAAUUGCUCUGGAAUUGGUUAUUAGUAACUUUUUUAAAAUCAGUCUUUAUUUAGAAUCCCCCAAUUUCAAACGUACUAGAAGUGUUCGUAAACAUAUUUAUCACGAAUAAGAAAAAUAUGUAUUCAUUUGAGUAUUAAUAUAUUAUCCACUGGCACUGUAACCAUUUCAUUCGGAUAAAUCUCAGAUUUCUUAACAGCUCUUUACGAACUCCAUAUACGCCUCUGGGCAUUAAUCACUAAAGGAAUUUACACUUUUUUAAUUUAUAUGUCAUAACACGAAAGCCAGUUCUUAAUAUUACAUGUUUCAUGCAUUGUGCCUUGAAUCUAGAUAGCAGUUGCUAUGGCUCACAUUUCGUUAAAUGUUUCACUUGUUAGCGAAGUAAUUUUAAAGAAUUAAAGGCAAUGAUCUCGUCAUAA